rnacentral:rRNA from 1 species
UGGGGGAUAUUGCACAAUGGGCGAAAGCCUGAUGCAGCGACGCCGCGUGGGGGAUGAAGGCUUUCGGGUUGUAAACCUCUUUCGCUAUCGAACAAGGCCCGCUUAGGGAGGGUUGAGGGUAGGUGGAGAAGAAGCGCCGGCUAACUACGUGCCAGCAGCCGCGGUAAUACGUAGGGCGCGAGCGUUGUCCGGAAUUAUUGGGCGUAAAGGGCUUGUAGGCUGCUUGUUGCGCCUGCUGUGAAAACGCGGGGCUUAACUUCGCGCGUGGAGUGGGUACGGGCAGGCUUGAGUGUGGUAGGGGUGACUGGAAUUCCAGGUGUAGCGGUGGAAUGCGCAGAUAUCUGGAGGAACACCGAUGGCGAAGGCAGGUCACUGGGGCAUUAAUGACGCAGAGGAGCGAAAGAAUGGGUAGCGAACAGG